rnacentral:rRNA from 1 species
CAGCAGCAGCCGCGGGAAUACGAAGGGGGCUAGCGUUGUUCGGAAUUACUGGGCGUAAAGCGCACGUAGGCGGAUAUUUAAGUCAGGGGUGAAAUCCCGCAGCUCAACUGCGGAACUGCCUUUGAUACUGGGUAUCUUGAGUAUGGAAGAGGUUAGUGGAAUUGCGAGUGUAGAGGUGAAAUUCGUAGAUAUUCGCAGGAACACCAGUGGCGAAGGCGGCUAACUGGUCCAUAACUGACGCUGAGGUGCGAAAGCGUGGGGAGCAAACAGGAUUAGAUACCCCCGUAGUCCCUGUCUCUUAUAC